GGGAUUCCAACUCGGGACUCCCCGCUUCUGGGGAGACCGGUGAGGCCCCCGCGACAUGGCCCUCCCAUCCCCAAGCCUCUCGUGCAGAUCUCCGCUCUGUGGGACUUGAUUGCGGGCUGCGGGCCCGUGGCUCCUGCAGGCAGAGAGAGGACGGGAGAGGAGACGGCUACGAGGCUUGGCCGCAGGUAGCUACGGUGCUCCCCCAACAAGGAACCGGAAACCCUCUUCGUUUGUUGAUCUAAAUAUACAAAAAUAAAACUAGUUGCUGGGUUCUCAGACGGAGUCUCUGCGGCAUUAGGAGGCCCACCCUUAUUUUCUCUUUUCUUCACGCAGGAAUCAGGUCCCUGGCCUGGGGGCGGCAAAAGGAGAUGGCGGUGGGUCAAGUGGGCGCGCAGGCUCAGACCUGGGGCUUCUGAGCCCACGCCCAGGCAUCUCGGACCUCUCACUUCUGAGGCCACCUCCUGCCCUUUAGAAUGAAGGGCUGGCACAGUUCUGCCAGGAUGCACGUUUAGCGACUUCUGUCAGACUGAAGCAUCCCCUCUCCGCAAGCGCCUGAAGUGUGAGAGGCACUGUUCUAAGUGCUUUAAUUUGCACUUGUUUAAUCCUCACAGGAGUCAACUUGAAUGGGCACACUUAUUCCCACUUUACAGAAGAGGAAACUGGGGCACAGAAAGACUGAGUAAUUGCUCAGGGGGCAUGCUCCAAGAAAGAGGGAGAGACAGGAUUUGGACCCAGACAGGCUGGCUCCCUAGUGCUCUGGACUUUGGUGUGGAUGAUCCAACUCAAGCCUUCUCCUUUUUCCCUCCUAUGUGAUCUUGCAUGCGUUUGUGCAGAGAAUGAGAAGGCAGAUCAAAGUUACAGAUGCUGCGAGAACAUCGCCAAGCAGAAUCUUGGGUGCUGUCCCCACCUCUCUGUACCUGCUCCCUCCCAGAGAAGCCAGCCUCCACUUGCUGUCCCGGGCCUUCUCUAUCUGAGAAAAGUUGAAGGAGCACAUGUCCUUGCGCAGGAAGAGGCUGUUCAGCGUGACCGCCCCGAUCAAGAAGAAGAGCUGCUUCACCGCCUGCCUCACAAGCUCGGGGUCCAGGCCGUUCUGGCACAUGGUGGUGUAAAAGUAGCUCAGCUGUUGCAGGACGGAGGUCAUGGUGUAGCCGUCCGUGUCGUCUAUGCUAGAGGAGCGCUUCCGGAAGCCUGUGGGCUUCAGGCCGGAAAUGCCCUGCAGGCUCUCAUACUCCAGCAUUCCCGGAACUGCGGAGAGACAGGGAGGCUGUGCUGACACGCCAGGAGACACACGCGGAACGUUCCCGACGCUCUUCGGUUUGUUUCAGGAGAUGGGACAUUUUUCUACAAGAGUCAGUGGAUGUACUUAUGAUAGAGAAAGCAAAAGAAUCAAGGGUUUGGGACACCAGGGUGUGUGUCAGGGUUAGGGAUGGACGGCUGUUUCCAGCGGGGCUGCAGCUCCUCUUGUAGGUUUGAAGCAGCACGUUUUUCAGCUUCACAGGAAAGAAAGCUGCUUAGCAUGACAAAUCAUGGCCUGGGCAUUAAAGCCUAAAGUAUUUAAAUUUCAGGAAAUUAAGGAAAGUAUACAAGAAUUCGAAUGGGGCUUUAGGAUUUCAAAAAUACUUGGCUACGCCAAGAAGUAGAAGUACCACAUAAAUAGCAGUAGUAGAAGUUUCCCCAAGUUUUUUCCUUCAGGAUAAAUCAUCCUUAUAUAAAGAAAACUACCAACAGCGUACUAUUAUUUAUGGAAUCAUUAUAAGCAAGCAAAGAAUUAAAAGGCAGAUAUCUACAUGAUUAUAUUUCCUUGGCUUUUUAAACAAUGUUACACAUAAUCACACAUUACACAUACCAAGUUUAUGUUUUAAAAAGUCUUAAUGUUACUAUAAAUAUUUUUUGGUCAUCCAUUCUCUUCUUACCUAUUAUCGGUUGGAUAUUCUUUUCCAUUAUGAUAAUAAAUUGAUGAUAUAUUCGUAUA
ensembl:lncRNA CERNA1 competing endogenous lncRNA 1 for miR-4707-5p and miR-4767